AGGGGGUGUGUCCCAGGGGGAUGUGGACAUGGCAGAUGUGGAAUGAGAAGAGGAUGAGAGACUGUUCUGUUGGCCCCAUGCCAAGGCCAGACCAGGCCCCAUAUUCAGACCAGGCCCCAUAUUCAGACCGGGCCCCUGGAUCAGUUUUAGCCUUUUAGACCUAAUGAAUAUGAUUACAUGGACAGGGGAGGCCUGAUCCUGGAUCAGUUUUAGCCUUUUAGACCUAAUGAAUAUGAUUACAUGGACAGGGGGAGGCCUGAUCCUGGAUCAGUUUUAGCCUUUUAGACCUAAUGAAUAUGAUUACAUGGACAGGGGGAGGCCUGAUCCUGGAUCAGUUUUAGCCUUUUAGACCUAAUGAAUAUGAUUACAUGGACAGGGGAGGCCUGAUCCUGAGCCAGAGAGCCUUGUGUUUGUGUAUCUGAAUGCCGUCAUUGUAAAUAAGAAUUUGUUCUUAACUGACUUGCCUAGUUUAAAUAAAAUUAAAAAACAGA